rnacentral:rRNA from 1 species
AUACGUAGGGGGCGAGCGUUGUCCGGAAUGAUUGGGCGUAAAGGGCGCGUAGGCGGCCCGGUAAGUCUGGAGUGAAAGUCCUGUUUUUAAGAUGGGAAUUGCUUUGGAUACUGUCGGGCUUGAGUGCCGGAGAGGAAAGUGGAAUUCCCAGUGUAGCGGUGAAAUGCGUAGAGAUUGGGAGGAACACCAGUGGCGAAGGCGACUUACUGGACUGUAACUGACGCUGAGGCGCGAAAGUGUGGGGAGCAAACAGGAUUAGAUACCCUGGUAGUCCACACUGUAAACGAUGAAUGCUAGGUGUAGGGGGUAUCGACCCCUUCUGUGCCGCAGUCAACACAAUAAGCAUUCCGCCUGGGGAGUACGGCCGCAAGGUUGAAACUCAAAGGAAUUGACGGGG